UUUUUUUUCUGAUCUAGAUGAUGACUUAAAUUUGUGAGUCUACCACAUUAAGAAGAUAAAAUAUUGCAUUGAAAUAGUAGGCAAGUAGAGACAAAUUAUUUUCGGGGAAGUUAAAAAACUGAAAUUAGAAUCUGUUCGACCUCAGGGAAUGGAAAGAAAAAAUGUGAUCGUGCUUAAAAUACUAUUUUCAAACCUUUCAUUACUCCAGCCCUAGCAAUUGAGGAAAGUUUGUUUUCCCUAAAAUGCUGUAUAGUAAGUAUCUCCUUUCAGGAGGGAAAACUGUGGGAGAGGGAUUGGAAGGAAGCUGUGACUAACUAGCUUUUUAUUAGGGACCGAAUACUGAUUAAAUUACAGGCAUUAUUUUAACUCAACUUGUCUUCCCAAUACUACUGGGAGUUAGAAUUAGAAUUGCUGUAUUUUGCAAUGAGCACUGAGGAGAACAAAGACCGGCUACUGACAUACAACUAAAAAGGUUUUUCUCAGAGAAGGACUAGACUUGGCAGUUUGGCCUUUAUGCAGCAAUUUCCAAGGACACGUUGGAGUUACAAAAAGAGGUACAUGCUUUCUGAAAUCAGAGGCACUCACCUGGACAGAAGUCCACAUCAGUUCAAACUGACUUUCAUGUUUUUGUGUGAGAAAAGGAAAACCUCUCAUUUAAAGUUAUGUGUUGUAUAUUCUCAAAAUGUCUAGUUCCUUGUCGGGCUGAUUUUCUGGGAUGUCAUUGACAUAUGGGGUAAUGGGAAACAAAUUUCUGUAUAGUUAUCAAUAAAUAACUAUUUGUACUAUUAACUAGGCUUAGGACCUGGAAUUAUACCAGAAGAAGUUCUUUUGGGUCAUAUUUCAGUUUAGAGAGCCAGCCACACAUUGGCAGUUAAGGACUGAACCCCUAUGUCUGUCAACUCAGCACAACCCCAUUUUCAGGAAUCUCCCUAUAUCACGACCACUUUGGAAAUCAAAUCAUCAUAUCCACUUCUGAGCACAUACCCUAAAAACUCUCCACAUGUGUGCAAGAAAUGUACAAAAACAUUUACUGUAGCAUUGUUAGCCAGCCAUUGAGUAUUGCUUUUCUAGAAUAAAGGAAGUUGCAUUUUUUUUUUCUCAUUCUGUUCAUGAUCACUUCUCAUUUAUUACUCUUAGGGAAGUCUCUAAUGGAGGCCUGUAGGGCAGCUGGCCCAUUUCGGGGGAAGCAUGACAUCACAGAUGCUUGUCUCUUCCUUGGCCCCAUCUGCUAGAAAUAGUAACUAAGUCCUUUACCUAUGCUGGUAGGAGAGGAGCUGUAGAAAAUCAAAUUAGCAGGAGAGAAACUAUUAGUCUUCAUUUUCUUGUUUCCAACCUGCAAAUACAGAUUGUUAAAUACACUUGUUCCCCAAUCCUCAUUAGGAAAUCUUGAAGAAUAGCAGGACAGGAAAAAAGCAUGGGGAUUAUGAGAAAACAACAGUACUAAAAUAUAAUGCAAAGUCAGGACUGUUCCUUCUCUUCAGACUAUCUUAUAUUUGUAGAGUUGGUUGAAUUUGAAAUUUUUCAUUAAAUAAUUUCAUUCCUAGUUGUAUGUGGAUGAAUGCCACAUUUACAAUUCCAAAUGUAUCUUUUUAUUUAGAAUUUUCUUUUUGGGGAUCCCUGGUUUCUACCUAUUAGUUCUGGUAUCCUUCAGUAACUUGAUCUCUCUUUUGUCAUACAUUCUUCUUUUGUGGUUUCUAAGGAUAUUGGCCUAUUUGCUGUGCCUUGAAUUUGCUGGCUCAGUACCGCCUAUGGUCUUUGCUUUUGCCUAGAGAAAUCCUUCCCCAGAUGUCCACAGAGUUUUUUCCUUCUUACGAAGGAGGCUUUCUGUAAACACCCUUUUAUUUUUAUUAUUUUUAAAAUAGAUUUUAUUUACUUAUUCAUGAGAGACAUAGAGAGAGAGAGGCAGAGACACAGGCAGAAGGAGAAGCAGGCUCCACGCAGGGAUCCCGGGUCUCCAGGAUCACGCGCUGGGCUGAAGGUGGCCACCCUGGCUUCCUCUAAACACCCUUUUAAAACUGCACUGCCUCAUCUCAUUUCUAUUUCCAUUCUCCAUGUCAUGGAACAUAUUGUAUCUUCUACUUGAUGGUUUUUCUGUCUAUAUGCACUAGAUUAUAAGUUAUAUGCAGCCAGGGGUUUUUGUCUGCUGCUCAUACUUUGUUUUCAGGACUGAGAAUAGUGACUGGCAUGUAGGUAUCUGACAAAAAUACUCAUUAAAUGAAUUACAGCAGAAUCUGUUGCAAACUACAACCCUUCAUAGGAAUAACUUGUAUUUAAUAUAAUUCUCAUUCAGAAGGAUUCUUACUGUCAUGACAUUUUAUUUGAUAUUUUUAUUUUAGAGUCUGAGGAAGAAACUUCAGAAUUAACCAAUACCCACUUAGUAAUAAACUUCUAGAUCACAAUAGUUUUAAACUGAAAUAUCAUCAGGAUUUGAGCAGUUAAAUAAAUAUGUGAAACACCCUAUGUAAAAUGUAGGUAAUGAUGAGGUCUGUGAUACAUAGGGGAGUUUAUAUACUGCCCUAUUAUAAGGCAUUUGGAUUUGAAAAAGAAAUUUAAAACAUAGCACUGUCUGAAGAAAACGUGUCUACCUGUGGUUUCAAAGGCCCAUUUCAGCACUCAGCAUGUGGCUGACAGGACCAUGAAGACAUUUUGCAAAUCACAUUGUUUUUUCUACUUCUUUUUAACUAUGUACUCAGGUCUGGAUAUGUGUCUGACUCCACGUCAGGACAGGAAUACUCAACUGAUCAAAUCUAAUUACAUUUGCUUCCCAGCUAAAUUGUAUAUCACCUUCCUCUCUUGUGAGAGAUAUGGCCCCUCUUGGGUCCUCAGCAUCUGAUUAUUGCAAACCUAAUUGAUUUGCGACAUUUCAUUAAUAAAGUUAACUAAAACUAAUUAUACAUAUUGAAUAAAAGUUUCCUGUGAAAUGAAUUAUUCUAUUUAGCUUAAGGGUUCUUAAUUGUUAGAAUGAAUUGCUGAGGAGGAUUUCAGAAUUACUUUCUCUUGGGAUAUAUAUAUAUAUAUAUAUAUAUAUAUAUACACUCAACCAAUAUGGGUUGAUGGAUAGUGACACCAUAGAAACUAAAUGCAGAAAAAAUUGAUUAAAUAUGAAAAUUAAAGAUGUCAAGCAUCUUCCUAAGAAGAUAAAAAUCAUAAAAUAGGUUACAUAGAUCUCUUCAUUUUAAGAUAUUAAAUUAGGUCUGUUAAAUCUGUCAUAUUAAGGUAGCUAAAAUAGAAAUUUUAAUAUAUUGACAUUUAUUGUUUUAUUCAUAGUAUGAAUUUUCCUUUAUUUAAUUGGAACAUAUUCUAUUUCUUACUCUUUAAUUCAGAUGGUAUGUUCUACGUCAUCCAUCUAAUUAAAUCUAAAUUCUAGCAGAAAUCCAGGGGGAGCCUACUACUACUUCAAUUGUCCCACCAAGCUGAUGUGUUCUGGGCAAGAGUUCUCACAAAUCAGGCCGUUUCCAAAGCUCCUUAUUUGUUCCGUUGUGUAUAAAUAAACAUGUUCUAUAUAAAACAAAGACU
rnacentral:lncRNA from 1 species